rnacentral:rRNA from 1 species
AGUGAACGCUGGCGGUAGGCCUAACACAUGCAAGUCGAACGGCAUCACAGUAAGAGCUUGCUCUUACGGGUGUCGAGUGGCGGACGGUUGAUGAAUACAUCGGAAUCUACUUUUUCGUUGGUGAUAACGUAGGGUAACUUACGCUAAUACCGCAUACGACCUACUUGUGAAAGCAGGGGAUCUUCUGACCUUGCGCGAUUGAAUGAGCCGAUGUCGGAUUAGAUAGUUGGCGGGGUAAAGGCACACCAAGGCGACGAUCCGUAUCUGGUCUGAGAGGAUGAUCAGCCACAUUGGAACUGAGAAACGGCACAGACACCUACGGGAGGAAGCAGUGGGGAAUAUUGGACGAUGGGGGCAAGCGUGAUCCAGCCAUACCGCGUAGGUGAAGAAGGACUUCGGGUUGUAAAGCCCUGUUGUUGGGAAAGAAAAGAAGCAGGUUAAUACCCGGCUGUUAUGACGGUACCCAAAGAAUAAGCACCGGCUAACUUCGUG